GGAAGGAUCAUUACCGUGUUUAUAAGUCUCUGGAAACAGGGACGAACACCCUUUCUUGGUUACUUGUUCGCAAUCAACUUCGGUGGGAUCUCUUUUCGGAGCAUGUUUGAUACAGAAACAUGUCAUGCCCGCCGACCAACCCAACUCUGAUCACAUUGACGUCUGAGUACAAAGUAAAUAAUCAAAACUUUCAACAACGGAUCUCUUGGUUCUGGCAUCGAUGAAGAACGCAGCGAAAUGCGAUACGUAAUGUGAAUUGCAGAAUUCAGCGAAUCAUCGAAUCUUUGAACGCACAUUGCGCCUCCGGGUAUUCCUGGAGGCAUGCCUGUUCGAGCGUCGUUUAGACCAUGAGGCUUUGCCUUGCGAUGGCAUUCGGGGUCGGUCCCGUUUGCCGAAACAUGUUGGCAUUUGAAGUUGGCCGAGUACAGCAAAAUUGUAUGACAGUCAAAAUCAAAGCGCUUGAAACACUUACAAGGUCGACCUCGGAUCAGGCAAGAUUACCCGCUGAACUUAAGCAUAUCAAUAAGCGGAGGAAAAGAAACCAACAGGGAUUGCCUCAGUAACGGCGAGUGAAGCGGCAAGAGCUCAAAUUUUAAAUCUGCCUUUUUGGCCGAGUUGUAAUUUGCAGAGGAGCGUUCGGCUUCGUCAAGGUCCAAGUCUUCUGGAAGGAAGCGCCGAUGAGGGUGAGAGCCCCGUACGACCGCAGACCCGGCCAUGUGAACGCCCUUCGAAGAGUCGAGUUGUUUGGGAAUGCAGCUCAAAGUGGGUGGUAAAUUCCAUCUAAAGCUAAAUAUUGGCCAGAGACCGAUAGCGCACAAGUAGAGUGAUCGAAAGAUGAAAAGCACUUUGGAAAGAGAGUGAAACAGUACGUGAAAUUGUUGAAAGGGAAGCGCUUGCGACCAGACUUGAUCGUUCAGUUCAUCAGUUCUUCUGAACUGUGCACUUCUGUUCGAACAGGCCAACAUCAGUUCGGGCGGUCGGAAAAAGGCUUGGGGAAUGUAGCUUCUUCGGGAGUGUUAUAGCCCCUUGCGGAAUACGGCCAGCGCGGACUGAGGCAUGCCUUUUGUAGGAUGUUGGCGUAAUGGUUGCUAGCGGCCCGUCUUGAAACACGGACCAAGGAGUCUAACGUCCAUGCGAGUGUUUGGGUGGAAAACCCGCACGCGAAAUGAAAGUGAACGUUGGUGGGAGCUUUUUGCGCACCAUCGACCGAUCCUGAUGUCCUCGGAAGGAUUUGAGUAUGAGCAUGGGCGUUGGGACCCGAAAGAUGAUGAACUAUGCGUGAAUAGGGCGAAGCCAGAGGAAACUCUGGUGGAGGCUCGCAGCGGUUCUGACGUGCAAAUCGAUCGUCAAAUUUGCGUAUAGGGGCGAAAGACUUAUCGAAUCAUCUAGUAGCUGGUUCCUGC
rnacentral:misc_RNA from 1 species